rnacentral:lncRNA from 10 species
GUCAGGGUUCUCCAGAGACAAAGAACGAAUAGGAUAUCUAUGUCCCUGAGAGGGAAUGUUUUAGGGGAACUGGCUCACGUGAUUAUGGAGGCUGAGAAGCCACAUGACAGGCCAUCUGCAACCUGGAGACUAUAGGAUGAUGGUAGCAUAGCUCAGUUCAAGUCUGAAGACCUCAGAACCAGGGAAGCUGAUGGUGUUACUUUCAGUCUAAGGCCAAAGACCUGAAAACCUGUGCCAGGGUAAGAAGUGGGAGCACUUGGCGCUUGUGCAAAUCCCGGAGUCCAAAGGGUCAAGAGCCUGGAGUUCUGAUGUUCAAGGACAGGAGAAGGAAGACUCCUUUAUUGCCAUAUGAAACUAUAAUUUUGACUGCGAGAAUGCUGCCAACAUUUCAGGCAUUCUGUAGAAUCUGCCCACUAUUUACUGGAAUGAACCAGAGCCAACUUAACCUGAUAAUUAAUUGUUUAUCAACAGACUGGAGCUUGAUAAAUACAGAGAACCAAAAGAUUGAGACAAGGUCAAAGCCCAAAGACCUGAGAACCAGAGUGUGGGUGUGGAAGGAGUGCUAGUAUAGGUCCGGAAGUCUAAAGGUCCAAGAAGCAAGAGCUCUGAUGUCUGAAGGCAAGAAAAAAGUAGAUGUCCCAGCUCAACAAGAAAGGAAGAAUUCACCCUUGCCCCACAAUUUUGUUCUAUUCAGGUCCUCAGCAGCCUGGAUGUUGCACUGGGACAAGAGGCAGGAUAAUUCUGGACAGAAGACAACAGAUGCCCAGCGAGGGCCCCACCCUCAAGACUGGAACCACGGCCCAAAGUGGAACAAACAUUCCUGUUUUCCCUCUUGAAUGUUGCCUUAUCCAAAAUCACCCAUGGCCUGCCCUGCCCCCCAUCCUGUGCCCAUAAAAACCCCAGGCUUCGCUGGCAGAGGGAGGAGAAGAGGAGAAGCAGCUGGACGUCAAAGACUAUGGUUGGACAUUGGAGAGAAGCAGCUUGACUUGAGAGGGACGGCUUGACGGCAGAGCUUUGAAGAAUCCUAUGCCGGACUCUGGGGGAAGAUUACCUUCUCGCUCCAUCACCUUUUCAGCUCCCCUUCCCACUGACAGCCACUUUCAUUGGCAAUAAAAUCCUCUGCAUUUACCAUCACCAAUUUGUUCAUGUGACCUCAUUCCUCCUGGAUGCCCAGUAAUUACUCGCGUGCGAGUAGGAAAGGCUGUCACACUGAUCCUCCACUGAGCUGUUAACACCUAAGCCAUCUGCGGAUGGCAAAGCUAAAAGAGCACUGACUGCAACUCUCUUUCUGGGGCUUCGGGGUCAUGGGCACCCCCACGAAUGCUGCCGAAUUUGUUCCUGCCGGUGUCCAAAAGUGCUUGCCCUGGCUCCCGCACCCGCUCACCUGCGUGCUCCCUCCCACUAGGGGUUGAGUGCGGCAGCUUCCAGUGAGUGGAGUUCGCCCUUGCCAGCGCCUGUGCACUCCAGUUCCUGCCCACGAAGGGGUCAGGGAAACAAAAUGACUCCUGGUCUAGAAAGAUAGGAACCUGUCUUUUAGAAUUUUAGUUGCCUUUCUUAAUUUCUGCUAUGUUAAUUUGGAAAUUAUCUAUAAAUGAUCUCUCCACUUUAACUGGUUGGAAUUCAAAUGUCUCCCAGCCUUGUGUGAACUUUGGGUUUGCUCAGCUUAUACGACCCUGGUAGUUUUUGCCCAGCUUCAUGGAGUUCUAACUUCAUGCCAAAUUUGCUGCGUAGAUUAGAAUUCAGCAACAAACUCAAGGAGACUUACCGUGUUCUUUCUCUUCUUAGCUGCCUCCUUUCUAAUUCACUGCCUCACAAGUCACUUCAGUCUCACUGAACUCUGGUCUCUGCCUCCUCAAUAUUGUGAGCCUGCUCUGCUCUGCUUGGGUUCUCCUUCUCAGUGCGAUGCCUUGUGGCAAAAAGCUUGGGUGAUAAUAAGGCUGAUCUUGUUUGUUUUGCUUCUUUUGGGGAUCUAAGUCCGUAAGAGGACUUUGAUCCUGUAUAUCAAAGUCCUGUGUUGCUUGUUGUCUCAUGUUUGAAAAUAACGGUUUCAUAUGUUUCUGGUGGGAUGGCAAGUCUGGUACUUCUUACUCCACUGUGGUGUCUGUUGAAACAAAUAAUAAAACUUUG